UUUUUUUUUUCUUUUUUUCUUUUUUUUUUUUAGGGCCUCUCCUGAGGCAUAUGGAAGUUCCCAAUCUAGGGGUCCGAAUUGGAGCUGCAGCUGCCAGCCCUUGCCACAGCCACAGCAAUCCCAGAUCUGAGCCAUGUCUGUGACCUCUACCACAGCUUUCGGCAACGCUGGAUCCUUAACCCACUGUGCAAGGCCAGGGGUCGAACUUGCAUCCUCAUGGAUCCUAGUCAGGUUUGUUAACCACUGAGCUGUGAAGGGAACUCCUCACUAUCUUUUACUUAUAGUUAUUUUUUAUGUAAGAGGAGUAGCAAAUAUGUAUAGCAAAAGUAAGAAUAAUUCACUUUAAAAAACAGAUUGGCAAAACUCCUCAAUUACAUUGCCUAUGUAUUUUUCAUUUCAUUUUUCCACAAGAGAAGGGUCUUGGUAAUUUCAUCCCCUUAUGACCAUAAUGCUUUUUUAAAAGACUUGAAUUUUAUAUCAAGAAGGAUGCUGAAAUUUUUUGAACGUUUAGAAUUCAAAUUUCUAGUGCUACUUUAAAAUUAGCUUUAAAAUCCCAUGUAUUCAUUCUGGGAAGUAAGUAUAUUUUCAAUGAGACCUCUUGAACUGUGUGCUGAAAAAAUACAACUUACCAACCUUGAGAGAAAAUGCUGCAAAUAUAUGCAACUUUUGAUCAAAAGCAACAAUUUAGUGUCAUGAAGGUUCAUUUUAUCCUUUUAUAUAUUUAGAGGUAAAACUAAGAGGAGUAAAAUGCAUAGGUUCUCUAGCAGUUCAAAUGCUUGGAUAUUCAAUUACUUGGUGGCAGCUGAUCAUUAGAUUAGAUACAUCCUAGUACAUCACAGAGGGUGAAAAGGUUCUUCCAGAGACAAAGGUGCUUUAGAGCAAUUUCUUUUCUAAUUAUGUUUCUUGUAAGAUUUUGUUUGUGUCCGAUUUAAAAUACGAUGUAAUCUGCUAGAGAGAGAAAGAAAUCAAAAGAUUAACAUCACCUUAUUAUCUCAUAUGAAAUGGGCCUGGGCUCAGGCUGAUGUGAUGAAAACUAUUUAUAGACACUGAUUUUUUUCUCUGUUAUUUAAAAGGAGAGUUGACACUGAAUAGAUAGUAUGAUCAGAUGUAUUAAUUUAGCAUGGUGUAUUGGCAUAACAUCAGCUAAUGUCUAUAACACAAAUGUUUAGCUUUAUAUAACUAAAGAACAUACUGGAGUUCCUUCUUAGAUUGUGAACUUUAUAAAUACUUUGUUAGUGAAACAUUGGAGCCUGCACAAAUGUUGGCCUAGUUUAGCUGAAUUAUGAGGAAAAAAAAAAAGGAUGUUUCUUUUCCUCAUGUAAUCUUCAGCAUUAGAAAAUACUAAACUUGUAAAAAGCACUUUUCAUACACAAUGAAACUAAUUUAGGUUGUGUCCUUGUUGACUUAGCUUUAUACACAAAUUUGUAAAACAUGUUAUUACCUUUCUUAUGCCAACUAACUUAUAUAGGAUUUAUGUGGGAUACUGUUUGGAAAUAAGGAUCAGUAUACUCUUGCAUGUGCUAUUGAUGCUUGUGUUUUUGAAUGGAAAGGGGUCUUAUUAUUUGAAAAACUGUUUAAAAACUAAAAAAAUAGACAAAUGAAAUUUAUGGUAUUCAGUAAUAUUAUUCAUAACUUAGUUCUUGUUUUCCAUUUUCCUUUUAUCAUGGAGUCAGAGGAAAAGUAUUUUUCUCUUGCUCUUUGACAAUCUUAGUCUUUGACCUCAAAGUUUUAAAGCUAGAUUCUGUGGUCAAAUUAAAAGAAUCUUAACUAAGAAAUUAGCUUUACACUAAUCCAAUUGCUUGCAAUAGCUAGUUUUUCACUGCAUUACAAUUAUUUUCAAAAUGUCAGUGGCUGACAGGAAAAGCGUUUAUUUCUUACUUUCAUUCCUGUGGAGUAGGUAUAGUUAUCCUGAACUCCCCUGAGUUCAGCUCAUCUAAGCUAUAAAUGAGGCUUCAGUUGAGUUCACAACUUUCUCACCUUUCUUCAUUAUUCUUUAACCACCAGCUAUACAGGGCAUUUUCUCUUCAUGGUAAAUAGCAGAAGUGCAAGAGAUCAAAACAAACUGUACAAGCACAUUAUUUAAAGCCUCUGCUCUUAAUCAUAUUUACUCGCGUCACAGGCCACAGAAACUCACAUGGCCAAGCUCAACAUCAGUGAGGUGAGAGAUUACAUUCCUCCCACAGUGAGGUAGAUGAUGAGACAAUGGCAGGGAGGGAACAGAGAUAUGUUGGAAAACAAUGUAAUUUGGAGUUCCCAUCAUAGGUCAGCGGAAAUGAAUCUGAAUAGGAACCAUGAGGGUGUGGACUCGAUCUCUGGCCUCGCUCAGCGGAUUAGGGAUCUGGCAUUGUCAUGAGCGGUGGUGUAGGUCGCAGACAUAGCUCAGAUCUGGUAUUGUUGUGGCUCUGGCAUAGGCCAGCAGCUGUAGCUUUGAUUGGACUCCUCACCUGGGAACCUCUAUAUGCCACAGGUGCAGCCCUAAAAAAGCAAAAACAAACAAACAAACAAAACAAACAAAAAAACCAAACAAAAAAACACCCAAAACAAACCAAACCAAAACAAAACAAAAAAGAAAAUAAUGUAAUUUUCCGCAAUGUCAAAUGUGAUUUAAUAGCAGUUCCUCUCCCCUUCUCCAGCCUGGGCCACAGUAACCUAUCAAUAUGCAGUGGGGAUGAUCAGUAUGGUCAUUCUAUUUUAAUUCUAUCCACUCAAUACCACCUCUAUCUAAUAGCCAUACCAACUCUCUCAUGGCUAGAAACUAGAGAUGUUAUGGGAAUUAGAACUGUUAAGGGAAGAGAUUAGUUAAAUUUCUUACAUGAGGAGUUCCUGUCAUGGCUCAGAGGAAACGAAUCUGACUAGUGUCCAUGAGGACACAGGUUUAAUCCCUGGCCUCACUCAGUGGGUUGAGGAUAUAGCAUUGCUCUGAGCCAUGACAUAGGUCACAGACUUAGCUCAGAUCUGGUGUUGCCAUGGCUAUGGCGUAGACCAGCAGCUACAGCUCCAAUUCAAUCCCUAACCUGUGAACCUCCAUAUGCUGCAAGUGAAGCCCUAAAAAGACAAAACAAAACAAAAAAAUUCUUACAUGAAUGAUUAUUGGCAUGAAUGGCUUCUUGCUGUUCGUGCCUGCCUGUCUGGCAUUUAAAUGGAGGGGAUAUUGUGGGAUCUGUCCUUGGUGCUGAACACAUUCUCCUCAGGGUACUCUCCCACUGAAACUUUCAGAACAUAUGCAAUACUUCUUCAGUUGAAGGCUCCCCUAUUCACAAUCUCCUGGUUUGGGUGCAUGUGUGUGUCCCACUUCUCAUAGUCUCUAGAAUUUUGGCACACUUUUUAGGCAUUUGUCUUGGGUAGGACUUAAAAGAGCUCCAGGCUCACUCUCCCAUAUGGCUCAUAUCUCACCCAAGGAAGCACUCAUGCGUAUUUCAAUAUAUGAGUGAAAAGCAGUCUAUCUAUUCCAUAGAAGAAGUCAGUAUUGCUCCCCUGCCAUUUCAGCUCUCUAACAAAUCUCUCACCUCCUUUUUUGUUCUUUCAAAACUGUAGAAAUACAUAUUCCCAGCUUUCUGUAAAAAGCCUUAGAAAAUAUGUCUCUCUGUAUAUGAAAGAAGUUGUCUCCCUUUCCCAUCUUUUCUAAAAGAUCAGGGAUGGUGCUGGGAAUCAUGGAAGAUAGCAAUUUUCUUUCAAAAACCUAUGGACAAAUUACUUCUCAUUUUAUAGUACAUUUUAAUUGGAAUAUAAUUGACAUACAAUAUUGUGUUAGUUUUAGAUGUACUACAUAAUGACCUGACAUUUGCAUACAUUAUGAAAUGAUCACAAGUCUAGUAAUCAUCUGACCCACAUAAAUUUAAUACAAUAUUGACCAUAUUUCUUAUGUUGUAUAUUACAUCCUCAUGACUUAUAAUAACUGCAGGUAGCAUCUCUUAAUCCCCUGCACCUACUUCAGUCACCCCUUCCUCCAUUUCUGACAAUCACUCAUUUGUUUUCUGUAUCUAUGAGUAUAUUUUCAUUGGUUUUUGUUUCUUUGUUUGAUUCUUUGAUUCCACACAGAAGUGAGAUCAUGGGGUAUUUGUCUUUCUCAGUCUGACUUAUUCUACUUUCCAUAAUUGCUCUAGAUCCAUUCAUGUUUUUGCAAAUGGCAAGAUUUUAGUUUUGAAGGCUGAGUAGUAUUCCAUUAUGUAUUAUAUUUAUUACAUCUUCUUUGUCCAUUCAUCUGCCAAUAGCCACUUAGGUAGCCUGGCUAUUAUAAAUAAUGCUGCAGUGACUAUAAGGAUGCAUAUACCUUUUGAGGUUUUUAUUUUUUUGCUUGGAGUAAAUACACAAAAAUAAGGUAGCUGGAUCUUAUGGAAGCUGUAUUUUUAAUUUUUUGAGAAACCUACAUUCUAUUUUCCAUAAUGACUGUACUAAUCUAUAAUCCCACCAACAGGUAUGAGGGUAUUUUUUUCCUCCAUAUCUUCACCAACUUUUGUUGUGUUAUCUUUUUUAUGAUGUUGUUCUGACAGGUGUGAGGUCACAGUUUGAGUUUGCAUUCCCCUAAUAAUUAGUGGUGUUGAGCAUUUUUUCAUCUUUCUGUUGGCCAUUUGUGUGUCUUCUUUAGAAAAACGUGUAUUCAAUCUUCUACUUUAAAAAAAAUCAAGUUUGGGUUUUUUGAUGUUGAAUUGUAUGGCUUCUACAUAUACUACUUUAUUGGAUAUAUCCUUUACAAACAUCUUCUCAUUUUUUUAUAUUUGUUCCUGAUUUCUUUUGCUGUGCAAAACUCCUUAGUUUGAUGUAGUCCCAUUUUUUUUAUUUUUGCUUUUUCUCACCUGAGAAAACAUAUCCAAAAAAUAUUGCUAAGAAUUUGUCAAAAUGCAUAUUGUUUUCUUCCAGGAGUUUUAUGGAUUCAAGUCUUAUAUUUACAUAUUUAAUCCAUGUUUAAUUUAUUUUUAUAUUGUGUGAGGAGGUACUAUCAUGGCUCAAUGUUUAACAAACCCGACUAGCAUCCAUGAGGACGCAGGUUUGAUCCCUGGACUCAUUUAGUGGGUUAAGGAUUUGACGUUGCCAUGAGAUGUGGUAUAGGUUGCAGUCAUGGCUUGGACUGCAUGUUGCUGUGGCUCUGGC
rnacentral:lncRNA from 1 species